GCUUGGAUAGCUCAGCUGGUUAGAGCAUGAUGCUGAUAAUGCCAAGGUUGCAGGUUCAACCCCCGUAUGGGACA